GACGUAGGGCGCGAGCGUUGUCCGGAUUUAUUGGGCGUAAAGAGCUCGUAGGCGGCUUGUCGCGUCGAAUGUGAAAUCUCAGGGCUCAACUCUGACAUUGCAUUCGAUACGGGCAGGCUAGAGUUCGGUAGGGGAGACUGGAAUUCCUGGUGUAGCGGUGAAAUGCGCAGAUAUCAGGAGGAACACCGGUGGCGAAGGCGGUUCUCUGGGCCUCACCUGACGCUGAGGAGCGAAAGCGUGGGGAGCGAACAGG
rnacentral:rRNA from 1 species